rnacentral:rRNA from 1 species
CUUACACAUGCAAGUCGAGGGGUAACGAUGGUGCUUGCACCAGGCGACGACCGGCGGACGGGUGAGUAACGCGUAUGCAACCUACCUAUUGCAGGAAGAUAGCCCGAGGAAACUCGGAUUAAUAUUCCAUAAUAUCAUUUUUACACAUGUAUUAAUGAUUAAAGCUACGGCGGCAAUAGAUGGGCAUGCGUACCAUUAGCUAGUUGGUGAGGUAACGGCUCACCAAGGUUACGAUGGUUAGGGGGUCUUAAAGGAUGAUCCCCCACACUGGUACUGAGACACGGACCAGACUCCUACGGGAGGCAGCAGUGAGGAAUAUUGGGCAAUGGACGCAAGUCUGACCCAGCCAUGCCGCGUGCAGGAUGACUGCUCUAGUAGUUGUAAACUGCUUUUCUAUUUCAUGAACCCCUCUGACGUGUCAGGGGCUGACAGUAGAAUAGGAAUAAGCAUCGGCUAACUCCGUGCCAGCAGCCGCGGUAAUACGGAGGAUGCAAGCGUUAUCCGGAUUUACUAGGUUUAAAGGGUGCGUAGGCGGGGUAUCAAGUCAGUGGUGAAAUCCUGCAGCUCAACUGUAGAACUGCCAUUGAAACUGAUAUUCUUGAGUAUAGUUGAGGUAGGCGGAAUGUGUUAAGUAGCGGUGAAAUGCAUAGAGAUAACACAGAACACCGAUUGCGAAGGCAGCUUACUAAACUAUUACUGACACUGAGGUACGAAAGCGUGGGGAGCGAACAGGAUUAGAUACCCUGGUAGUCCACGCCGUAAACGUUGAUCACUAGUUGUUUGCGAUACAUUGUGAGCGACUGAACAAAAGCAUUAAGUGAUCCACCUGGGGAGUACGUUGGCAACGAUGAAACUCAAAGGAAUUGACGGGGGCCCGCACAAGCGGAGGAACAUGUGGUUUAAUUCGAUGAUACGCGAAGAACCUUACCUGGGCUUGACAUCCCGGGAAUUUCCCGGAAACGGGAAAGUGCCCUCCGGGGAGCCUGGUGACAGGUGCUGCAUGGCUGUCGUCAGCUCGUGUCGUGAGAUGUUGGGUUAAGUCCCGCAACGAGCGCAACCCUUAUCUUCAGUUACCAGCAUUUCGGGUGGGGACUCUGAAGAUACUGCCCCGGUCAACGGGGAGGAAGGUGGGGAUGACGUCAAGUCCUCAUGGCCUUUAUGCCCAGGGCUACACACGUGUUACAAUGGUCGAAACAAAGGGCAGCUACUUGGUGACAAGAUGCUAAUCUCUAAAAUCGAUCUCAGUUCGGAUCGAAGUCUGCAAUUCGACUUCGUGAAGUUGGAUUCGCUAGUAAUCGCGCAUCAGCAAUGGCGCGGUGAUACGUUCCCGGGCCUUGUACACACCGCCCGUCAAGCCAUGGAAGCUGGGGGUACCUGAAGUCUGUAACCGAGAGGAGCGGC